UACGUAGGGUCCGAGCGUUGUCCGGAAUUACUGGGCGUAAAGAGCUCGUAGGCGGUUUGUCGCGUCUGCCGUGAAAGUCCGGGGCUCAACUCCGGAUCUGCGGUGGGUACGGGCAGACUAGAGUGAUGUAGGGGAGACUGGAAUUCCUGGUGUAGCGGUGAAAUGCGCAGAUAUCAGGAGGAACACCGAUGGCGAAGGCGGCGCCCUGGCUCGCAACUGACGCUCAGACACGACAGCAUGGGGAGCGAACGGG
rnacentral:rRNA from 1 species